GGGGGGAGGCCGGAUCCUGGGCUGUGUCCCGGCGCCCUGUGCUCCCGGGCCUGCGCUAUUGGAUUCGCGCUCUCGCCCGCGCAGCCCCCU
rnacentral:pre_miRNA from 1 species